UUUCCAAGCAUAUAAAACCUUUUUUAACUUUAAUCAACAGUAUAAUUAAUAAUUUGAUAAGUAAUGCAAUAAAACAAAACGAACAAGAUGAAUGUUUCGUUAUUUCACAUUUCACUAAUUGCUGUAAUUGUGGUGUUAAAUAUUUUGUCAUGCAGCGCACAAAAUAAUCCUGAUUUUGUGUGCGAUUUUGUCUGCAUUGAAGAAUGUCCACAAAUUCCAGCAACUUGUACUAGUAAUGGAGGACAAAUCAAACGUUUAGGGGUGUGUGCAUGUUGCGACACUUGUGUAUAUACUGCUGAAAAAUAUAACUUUUGUGGUUAUCGAGGCCAGAUUUACUACGAAUGUGAUUGUAACUUGACAUGUGAACAUUCGAUUUGUUUCCCGGACAAGAAAAGUGAUGAAAAUUAAACAAUACGGCAUGUGAAAAAAGUAAAUAAUAACAAAUACGUUUCCACUGUUCCAAAAAUAAAUUACACUUAACUGUAUCCUUAAAAUAGACACAAAAAUUCUUUCAAAAAAUGUUGCCAACUCAAAAAAAAUAACUAAAAUUAAUUUAGUUUUAAAAUAAUUAAAUAAUACAUAUAUUUGAAUAGUACUACA